rnacentral:rRNA from 1 species
CCCUUAGAUGUUCUGGGCCGCACGCGCGCUACACUGACGAAUGCAACGAGCUUAUAACCUUGGCCGAAAGGUCUGGGUAAUCUCCAAAUUUCGUCGUGAUGGGGAUAGAUUAUUGCAAUUAUUAAUCUUCAACGAGGAAUGCCUAGUAAGCGCAAGUCAUCAGCUUGCGUUGAUUACGUCCCUGCCCUUUGUACACACCGCCCGUCGCUCCUACCGAUUGAAUGGUUUAGUGAGGCCUUCGGAUCCGCAACUCGUUUUGUGGAGAAGUUGGACAAACUCAGUCAUUUAGAGGAAGUAAAAGUCGUAACA